rnacentral:rRNA from 1 species
AGAGUUUGAUCCUGGCUCAGGACGAACGCUGGCGGUAUGCUUAACACACGUNANNNNAGCGAUAAAGCACCUUCGGGUGUGAAUUAGCGGCGAACGGUUGAGGAACACGUGAGAAAUCUGCCUUCAACACUGGGAUAACUCCGGGAAACCGGGGCUAAUACCGGAUAUGAAAUCUGCGGGCAUCCGCGGAUUUGUAAAGUUUUUCGGUUGAAGAUGAUCUCGCGGCCUAUCGGCUUGUUGGUGAGGUAAUGGCUCACCAAGGCGGCAACGGGUAGCCGGCCUGAGAGGGCGACCGGCCACUCUGGGACUGAGACACGGCCCAGACUCCUACGGGAGGCAGCAGUGGGGAAUAUUGGGCAAUGGAGGAAACUCUGACCCACCGACGCCGCGUGCGGGAUGAAGGCCUUCGGGUUGUAAACCGCUUUCAGCAGGGAAGAAGCGAAAGUGACGGUACCUGCAGAAGAAGCACCGGCUAACUAUGUGCCAGCAGCCGCGGAAAUACAUAGGGUGCAAGCGUUGUCCGGAAUUAUUGGGCGUAAAGAGCUCGUAGGUGGUUCGUCACGUCGGAUGUGAAAAUCUGGGGCUUAACCCCAGACCUGCAUUCGAUACGGGCGAGCUUGAGUAUGGUANGGGAGUCUGGAAUUCCUGGUGUAGCGGUGGAAUGCGCAGAUAUCUAGAGGAACACCACUGGCGAAGGCAGGACUCUGGGCCAUUACUGACACUGAUGAGCGAACCCGUGAGGAGCGAACAUGAUUAAAUACCCUGGUAGUCCACGCCCUUAUUCGGUGGGCACUAGUUGUGGGGACCUUCCACGGUCUCUGCCACGCACUAACCCAUUAAGAGCCCCGCCUGGGGGUACGAUCG